CAAAAAUUAUAAAUAGGUUCGAUCAAAAUUACUGGCAGAGUUACUGAACACUGCAAUAUCAUUACCAUACAUCAAUUUACAUUGCUCUAUGGAUGAUCCAAGGGGCCCCCACAAGCUCAAAGUGUAAGGAAGAGUAAUAGUAUUGUCCUUAUAAAAGACCACGCCUUUAAAUCCUCUUUUCUUCAAUUCACUCCAAUCGAUGUACCGUAUAUCAGGAACAGAAACAUGUGGGAUUGCCAAGUUCUUGUCUUUUGACAAAAUUCCCACAGAAGAAGCAAGGUUUUCCAAAUUAACUAUUUGCCCUAAGAAACCUUUGAAAUCUGUCCACCACAAGUUUGAGGAAAUGUCCAAAAAAGUUAUCUACCUCUCUUUCUGGUUCCCUUUCACUCUCUCUAAAUUUGAUUUUUCGGUUUUCAAUGGAAGAACAAAAAUCUUGGCAAGAUUUGGGAUUUUCUUCAUCUGGGUCUUUUCUUGGAUAAGGCUUCUGAUUCUUUUCUUGAUCUUUGUUGCAACUAUUUGUUGCAGAAAAAUGAAGAAACUAUUGUUUAUGUAGAUUUUUUUUUUCUUUUUUGAGGGUUUUACAGAGAGAUUCUUAUGGUUUUGG
rnacentral:lncRNA from 1 species